UACAUGGGGUGCAAACGUUGCUCGGAAUCAUUGGGCGUAAAGCGCGCGUAGGCGGUUACACAAGUUGGAUGUGAAAGCCCUCGGCUUAACUGAGGAAGUGCAUCCAAAACUGUGCAGCUAGAGUACUAAAGAGGGUCGCGGAAUUCCCGGUGUAGAGGUGAAAUUCGUAGAUAUCGGGAGGAACACCCGUAGCGAAGGCGGCACUCUGGGCCGGAACUGACGCUGAGGAGCGAAAGCGUGGGGAGCGAACAGG
rnacentral:rRNA from 1 species